CCCGCUCAGAAACUCAAAUGCAUUGACGGGGCCGCACAAGCGGUGGAGUAUGUGGUUUAAUCGAUGCAACGCGAAGAACCUUACCUGAUCUUGACAUCCCGGAGACCCUUAGGAAACUAGGGGGUGCUUCCAUCUGGAAGAAUCUGGAGACAGGUGCUGCAUGGCUGUCGUCAGCUCGUGUCGUGAGAUGUUGGGUUAAGUCCCGCAACGAGCGCAACCCUUGCCUUUAGUUGCCAGCAGUUCGGCUGGGCACUCUAAAGGGACUGCCGGUGUUAAACCGGAGGAAGGUGGGGAUGACGUCAAGUCCUCAUGGCCUUUAUGACCAGGGCUACACACGUACUACAAUGGCCGAUACAAAGGGCAGCGACACUGCGAGGUGAAGCCAAUCCCGUAAAAUCGGUCUCAGUCCGGAUUGGAGUCUGCAACUCGACUCCAUGAAGUUGGAAUCGCUAGUAAUCGUGGAUCAGCAUGCCACGGUGAAUACGUUCCCGGGCCUU
rnacentral:rRNA from 1 species